rnacentral:rRNA from 1 species
AUUGAACGCUGGCGGCAGGCCUAACACAUGCAAGUCGAGCGAGCGGCGGACGGGUGAGUAAUGUAUGGGGAACUGCCUGAUGGCGGGGGAUAACUACUGGAAACGGUAGCUAAUACCGCAUACCAUCAGAUGAACCCAUAUGGGAUUAGCUAGUAGGUAAGGUAACGGCUUACCUAGGCGACGAUCCCUAGCUGGUCUGAGAGGAGGAUCAGCCACACUGGGACUGAGACACGGCCCAGACUCCUACGGUAGGAAGCAGUGGGGAAUAUUGGCCAAUGGGCGCAAGCCUGAUGCAGCCAUGCCGCGUGUAUGAAGAAGGCCUUCGGGUUGUAAAGUACUUUCAGUCGGGAGGCGUUACCGAAAUAAGAAGCACCGGCUAACUCCGUGCCAGCCGCCGCGGUAAUUC